GGCUAGUCUGAGUGCAGUGGUGUUUACAAUUAAUUGAUCACACAGUUAUAGAUUUAUUUAUUCCUUGUCCAUUCCCAUUGCUUCACUUGACAGGCCUAAA
ensembl:misc_RNA Y_RNA Y RNA